GUUGUUUUGGCCGAGUGGUUAAGCGUGUGCCUGCUAAGUACAUGGGAUUUCCCGCGAGAGUUCAAAUCUCUCAAGCAAUG
rnacentral:tRNA from 1 species